AUGCUGCAAAACGUGAGUCCUCACAACAAGCUCCCUGGGGAAGGGAAUGUAGGAUUGCUGGGGCUGGGCCCGGAAGCAGCGGCUCCAGGGAAAAGGAUUCGAAAGCCUUCCCCCUUGUAUGAGGGAUUUGAGAGCCCCACAAUGGCUUCGGUGCCUGCUUUGCAACUGACCCCUGCCAACCCACCACCGCUGGAGGUGUCCAAUCCCAAAAAGCCAGGACGAGUUACCAACCAGUUGCAAUACCUACACAAGGUAGUGAUGAAGGCUCUGUGGAAACAUCAGUUUGCAUGGCCAUUCCGGCAGCCUGUGGAUGCUGUCAAACUGGGUCUACCGGAUUACCACAAAAUUAUAAAACAGCCUAUGGACAUGGGUACUAUUAAGAGGAGACUUGAAAACAAUUAUUAUUGGACUGCCUCAGAGUGUAUUCAAGAUUUUAAUAGCAUGUUUACCAACUGUUACAUUUACAACAAGCCUACUGAUGAUAUUGUCCUAAUGGCACAAAUGCUGGAAAAGAUCUUCCUACAGAAAGUUGCAUCAAUGCCACAAGAGGAACAAGAGCUAGUGGUGACCAUCUCUAAGAAUAGCCACAAGAAGGGGGCCAAGUUGGCAGCACUCCAGGGCAGUGUUACCAGUGCCCAUCAGGUGCCUGCUGUCUCUUCUGUGUCACACACAGCCCUGUAUACUCCACCACCUGAUAUGCCUACCAGUGUCCUCAACAUUCCCCACCCAUCAGUCAUUUCCUCUCCAACUCUCAAGUCCCUGCACUCCGCUGGACCCCCACUCAUUGAUGUUACUGCAGCUCCUCCAGCCCAGCCCCUUGCCAGGAAAGAAGGUGUAAAGCGGAAAGCAGAUACUACCACCCCUACACCUACAGCCAUCCUGGCUCCUGAUUCCCCAGCUAGCCCUUCUGGGAGUCUUAAGCCUAAGGCAACACAGCUUCCCCCUAUGCAUAAAGAGAGUAGUCACCCCAUCAGCCCCCCACGCAAAGACUUGCCUGACUCUCAGCAACAACACCAGAGCUCUAAGAAAGGAAAGCUUUCAGAACAAUUAAAGCAUUGCAAUGGCAUUUUGAAGGAAUUACUCUCUAAGAAGCAUGCUGCCUAUGCUUGGCCUUUCUAUAAACCAGUGGACGCUUCUGCACUUGGCCUGCAUGACUACCAUGACAUCAUUAAGCACCCUAUGGACCUCAGCACUGUCAAGCAGAAGAUGGAGAACCGUGAUUACCGGCAUGCACAGGAGUUUGCUGCUGACCUAUGGCUUAUGUUCUCCAACUGCUACAAGUACAAUCCCCCAGAUCACGAUGUUGUGGCAAUGGCACAAAAGCUACAGGAUGUAUUUGAGUUCUAUUAUGCCAAGAUGUCAGAUGAACCACUGGAACCAGGGCCUUUACCAGUCUCUACUGCCAUGCCCCCUGGCUUGGCCAAAUCAUCUUCAGAGUCCUCCACUGAUGAAAGUAGCAGUGAGAGCUCCUCUGAGGGAGAAGAAGAGAGUGAAAGCUCAGACUCAGAGGAAGAAAGGGCUCAUCGUUUGGCAGAACUGCAGGAACAGCUUCGGGCAGUACAUGAACAACUGGCUGCUCUGUCCCAGGGUCCAAUAUCCAAGCCCAAGAGGAAAAGAGAGAAAGAAGAGGAAAAGAAGAAACAGAAGGCAGAGAAGCAUCGAGAACAAGCUGGGGCUGAUGAAGAUGACAAGGGGCCUCAGGCACCCCACCCACCUCAGCCCAAGAAGUCCAAGAAAGCAAGUGGCAGUGGAGGUGGCAGUACUGCUUUAAGCCCUUCUGGCUUUGGACCUUCUAGAGGAUAUGGCACCAACCUCCCCAAAAAGGCCACAAAGACAGCCCCACCUGCCCUGCCUAUAGGUUAUGAUUCAGAGGAGGAAGAGAGCAGGCCCAUGAGUUACGACGAAAAGUGGCAGCUGAGCCUGGACAUCAACAAAUUACCUGGAGAGAAGCUGGGCCAAGUUGUGCACAUAAUCCAAGCCAGGGAGCCCUCUUUACGUGAUUCAAACCCAGAAGAGAUUGAGAUUGAUUUUGAAACACUCAAGCCAUCCACACUUAGAGAGCUUGAGCGCUAUGUCCAUUCCUGCCUACGUAAGAAACCCCGGAAGCCUUAUACCAUUAAGAAGCCUGUGGGAAAGACCAAGGAAGAUCUGGCUUUGGAGAAAAAGCGGGAAUUAGAAAAGCGGUUACAAGAUGUCAGCGGACAGCUCAAUUCCACUAAAAAGCCCCCCAAGAAAGCAAGUGAGAAAACAGAGUCGUCCUCUGCACAGCAAGUAGCAGUGUCACAUCUCAGCGCUUCCAGCUCCAGUUCAGAUUCCAGCUCCAGCUCAGAUUCCAGCUCCAGCUCAGAUUCCAGCUCCUCCUCUUCAUCAUCGUCUUCUUCAGACACCAGUGAAUCAGAUUCAGGCUAAGGGGCCAGGCCACAUGGCGCAGGAAGGCUCCGCAGGACCGGACCCCUAGACCACCCUGCCCCACCCACUCCUUUCCCCUUUGCUGUGACUUCUUCAUCCUACCCCCUUGCCCCCUCUAAGAGAGCUGGCUCUGCAGUGGGGGAGGGAUAGAGGGACAUUUACUGAAGGAGGGACAUGGAUAAAAUAAGAUUGAAUUCUCAUGAGGCCCCAUUGGGGAAUGAUCUCUUGGACACAGACCCCCCAUUCAAAAUGACUGGGGCAGGGCAAGGGGGUACAGGGUGGAAGUGUGCAAAGCCCCUGAUCUGGAGUUACCCGAGGCCACAGCUGCCCUGUUUGUUCACUUAUAAGGGCCCUGUUUUGAGGUUGUUUGUUCUAAUUUAUUUUAAGCUAGGUAAGGCUGGGGGGAGGGUGGGACCAUGGUCCCCUCAGCCUCCAUGGGGAGGCAAGAAGGAGGAGCUUUUUUUUACAUUGACAUUUUUUUUCUACUCUUGUUUGCCCUUUUCCUUCGCUCCAUUUGGGGCCCUGGGGGUUUCAGUCAUCUCCCCAUUUGGUCUCCUGGACUGUCUUUGUUGAUUCUAACUUGUAAAUAAAGAAAAUAUUAUUUAAAAAAUAUAUAUAUAGCUAUGUGAGACUUGGACAUUUUUUUUUUAAGCACAGUGUUAAAGAGCAACUUUAUGUGCCCUGAUCAUUAAAAUCAACAAAAUGCAUUUGACUCAAAACAGGACGUAGUUGAACAAAAAUGGGUCUUCAGUCAUUUGGAAAUGCUAACAUGCUGACUGCCUGAUUAAACACAAUUUGUAUUGUCAAUAAAAAAUGCAAAUGGCUA